GGCUGCUGGAUGUCUGGAGACCUGUGUGCCAUCUUUCAGCCUCAUGCCAUGUGCCUCUCUCCUGAGGCUGUGGGCUGCAUCCAAGAGAAUGACCUUCCUCGACAGAGGAGGGCAGCUCUCCUGGAAGAGAAGUGGGAGGAACUUCUUUCUGCUAGAGCCCACAACUACAGGUUUAAAAUGCUGUGUGUGUGUGUGUGUGUGUGUACGCACAUGGAAGUGUGCACGCACGUGUGUGUACAUCUU
rnacentral:sRNA from 1 species